UCUUUACACUUCAUUCGUUUAGUUUGUUUGGGUGGGGCUAAGCUUUAGGGAGAAAGUGUUUUGUUGGGGUGACGAGCAGAUAAGAUAAACUCUUUUAUUCAGUAACACUGAUGAGUGGUUGGUUGAUCCAUUAGUUAUGAUUAUAAGACUAAGU
rnacentral:rRNA from 1 species